rnacentral:rRNA from 1 species
UAGGUUAACGAGGCGAACCGGGGGAACUGAAACAUCUAAGUACCCCGAGGAAAAGAAAUCAACCGAGAUUCCCCCAGUAGCGGCGAGCGAACGGGGAGCAGCCCAGAGUCUGAAUCAGCUUGUGUGUUAGUGGAACGGUCUGGAAAGUCCGACGGUACAGGGUGAUAGUCCCGUACACCAAAAUGCACAGGCUGUGAACUCGAAGAGUAGGGCGGGACACGUGGUAUCCUGUCUGAAUAUGGGGGGACCAUCCUCCAAGGCUAAAUACUCCUGACUGACCGAUAGUGAACCAGUACCGUGAGGGAAAGGCGAAAAGAACCCCGGCGAGGGGAGUGAAAAAGAACCUGAAACCGUGUACGUACAAGCAGUGGGAGCACCUUCGGGUGUGACUGCGUACCUUUUGUAUAAUGGGUCAGCGACUUAUAUUCUGUAGCAAGGUUAACCGUAUAGGGGAGCCGCAGGGAAACCGAGUCUUAACUGGGCGUUAAGUUGCAGGGUAUAGACCCGAAACCCGGUGAUCUAGCCAUGGGCAGGUUGAAGGUUGGGUAACACUAACUGGAGGACCGAACCGACUAAUGUUGAAAAAUUAGCGGAUGACUUGUGGCUGGGGGUGAAAGGCCAAUCAAACCGGGAGAUAGCUGGUUCUCCCCGAAAGCUAUUUAGGUAGCGCCUCGUGAAUUCAUCUUCGGGGGUAGAGCACUGUUUCGGCUAGGGGGUCAUCCCGACUUACCAACCCGAUGCAAACUACGAAUACCGAAGAAUGUUAUCACGGGAGACACACGGCGGGUGCUAACGUCCGUCGUGAAGAGGGAAACAACCCAGACCGCCAGCUAAGGUCCCAAAGUCAUGGUUAAGUGGGAAACGAUGUGGGAAGGCACAGACAGCCAGGAUGUUGGCUUAGAAGCAGCCAUCAUUUAAAGAAAGCGUAAUAGCUCACUGGUCGAGUCGGCCUGCGCGGAAGAUGUAACGGGGCUAAACCAUGCACCGAAGCUGCGGCAGCGACACUAUGUGUUGUUGGGUAGGGGAGCGUUCUGUAAGCCUGCGAAGGUGACCUGUGAGGGUUGCUGGAGGUAUCAGAAGUGCGAAUGCUGACAUAAGUAACGAUAAAGCGGGUGAAAAGCCCGCUCGCCGGAAGACCAAGGGUUCCUGUCCAACGUUAAUCGGGGCAGGGUGAGUCGACCCCUAAGGCGAGGCCGAAAGGCGUAGUCGAUGGGAAACAGGUUAAUAUUCCUGUACUUGGUGUUACUGCGAAGGGGGGACGGAGAAGGCUAUGUUAGCCGGGCGACGGUUGUCCCGGUUUA